UACGUAGGGUGCGAGCGUUAAUCGGAAUUACUGGGCGUAAUGCGUGCGCAGGCGGUUUGACAAGUCUGAUGUGAAAUCCCCGGGCUCAACCUGGGAACUGCGUUGGAAACUGUCAGGCUAGAGUGUGGCAGAGGGGGGUAGAAUUCCACGUGUAGCAGUGAAAUGCGUAGAGAUGUGGAGGAAUACCGAUGGCGAAGGCAGCCCCCUGGGCUAACGCUGACGCUCAUGCACGAAAGCGUGGGGAGCAAACAGGAUUAGAUA
rnacentral:rRNA from 1 species